AGAGUUUGAUCCUGGCUCAGGAUGAACGCUGACAGAAUGCUUAACACAUGCAAGUCAACUUGAACUUCGGUUUGGGUGGCGGACGGGUGAGUAACGCGUAAAGAACUUGCCUCACAGCUAGGGACAACAUUUGGAAACGAAUGCUAAUACCUGAUAUUAUGAUUUUAGGGCAUCCUAGAAUUAUGAAAGCUAUAUGCGCUGUGAGAGAGCUUUGCGUCCCAUUAGCUAGUUGGAGAGGUAACGGCUCACCAAGGCGAUGAUGGGUAGCCGGCCUGAGAGGGUGAACGGCCACAAGGGGACUGAGACACGGCCCUUACUCCUACGGGAGGCAGCAGUGGGGAAUAUUGGACAAUGGACCAAGAGUCUGAUCCAGCAAUUCUGUGUGCACGAUGAAGUUUUUCGGAAUGUAAAGUGCUUUCAGUUGGGAAGAAAAAAAUGACGGUACCAACAGAAGAAGUGACGGCUAAAUACGUGCCAGCAGCCGCGGUAAUACGUAUGUCACAAGCGUUAUCCGGAUUUAUUGGGCGUAAAGCGCGUCUAGGUGGUUAUGUAAGUCUGAUGUGAAAAUGCAGGGCUCAACUCUGUAUUGCGUUGGAAACUGUGUAACUAGAGUACUGGAGAGGUAAGCGGAACUACAAGUGUAGAGGUGAAAUUCGUAGAUAUUUGUAGGAAUGCCGAUGGGGAAGCCAGCUUACUGGACAGAUACUGACGCUAAAGCGCGAAAGCGUGGGUAGCAAACAGGAUUAGAUACCCUGGUAGUCCACGCU
rnacentral:rRNA from 1 species